UGUCUGUGGAGGAACCCAGCGCGCGGGGUAGGGGGGCAGGGUGCAGGGCUUUAAACUCUAAGGAGGCCCCAACAACAGCAGCAGUGUGAUGAGCAGGGGGGCUGAAGAUACCCACAGUCCCCAGACUGGGUCAGUCCCUGGGGGGCAAUGCCCUGCCAUAGCCGCCUGGUUCUGGUUCCUGGGGCCUGUCAAAUAUCCCAAGGCUGAGUUGGCCUGUUCCGGGGUGCCCAUGACACCCCGGGUGGGGGGCUGUGAUCAGUCCAGAGUUCCUCAGUGGUGCUGAGUCAGAAGAGGGGACCUAAGUCCAGCCUUCCUGGUGCUGAUCGUGUCAAGGACAGACAGAGGCCUAUCGUCUGGACAAAGGAUGGAAAGUCACCCACUGGAGACCGACGGAAGAGGUCUUUGACUCCUUCAUGGCUGGUGCAUGUUCUUGCAGCCCCCUCCCCCACUCCCUCCCGCUCUCCCUCUCCUCAAGAGAUCAGCACAUUGCAAAGACAGGUUGUUGAAUAUUUUCUCUCUCAUCACUAAGAAGGCCUCCCUGCUGGGUGUAAUCAAGAACCAUAAACUCGCCUUGCAGCUCCAGUCGGUGUGAAUCCAGCCCCACUCUGCUCGCCUCGAUUCAGACACGCUCAGGGCCGGCUGACAGCAGGGCUGGACCGAGUCUGAUGCAGCAGUCCUGUG